rnacentral:rRNA from 1 species
CCAAUAGCGUAUAUUAAAGUUGUUGCAGUUAAAAAGCUCGUAGUUGAAUUUCGAGAUCAAAUUGUUGGUAGUGCCUCGGUACGUACUGGUAAUUUUGGUUUCUCCCUUCUGAAGAACCAUGAUGUCAUUAAUUUGGUGUCUUGGGGAAUCAGGACUGUUACUUUGAAAAAAUUAGAGUGUUUAAAGCAGGCUCGCGCUUG